rnacentral:rRNA from 1 species
GACGAACGCUGGCGGCGUGCUUAACACAUGCAAGUCGAACGGAGCGAAUGAAAGCUUGCUUUUAUGAGCUUAGUGGCAAACGGGUGAGUAACACGUAGACAACCUGCCGACAGGAUGGGGACAACAUUCCGAAAGGAAUGCUAAUACCGAAUGAAGCGGAGGAGAGGCAUCUCUCUUCCGUGAAAGAUGGCCUCUUUUUAUGCUAUCACCUGUUGAUGGGUCUGCGUCUGAUUAGCUGGUAGGUGAGGUAACGGCUCACCUAGGCGACGAUCAGUAGCCGGUCUGAGAGGAUGAACGGCCACAUUGGGACUGAGACACGGCCCAGACUCCUACGGGAGGCAGCAGUGGGGAAUCUUCCGCAAUGGGCGCAAGCCUGACGGAGCAACGCCGCGUGAGUGAAGAAGGUCUUCGGAUCGUAAAGCUCUGUUGACGGGGACGAACGUGCGUGAUGCGAACAGUGUCAUGCAAUGAC